CAUAACACAGAGUCUAUACAGGUAGAUAACACAGAGUCAUAACACAGAGUCUAUACAGGUAGAUAACACAGAGUCAUAACACAGAGUCUAUACAGGUACAUAACACAGAGUCAUAACACAGAGUCUAUACAGGUACAUAACACAGAGUCUAUACAGGUACAUAACACAGAGUCUAUACAGGUACAUAACACAGAGUCUAUACAGGUACAUAACACAGAGUCAUAACACAGAGUCUAUACAGGUACAUAACACAGAGUCUAUACAGGUACAUAACACAGAGUCUAUACAGGUACAUAACACAGAGUCUAUACAGGUACAUAACACAGAGUCUAUACAGGUACAUAACACA